rnacentral:rRNA from 1 species
AGUGCGGAAUUUUAGAUAAUGGAGGGAACUCUGAUCUAGCGACGCCGCGUGCAGGAAGAAGGUCUUCGGAUUGUAAACUGCUGUGGUAAGGGAAAAAUGCUAUGUAGAGUGGAAAGCUACAUAGAGGGAUGGUACCUUACUAGAAAGCCCCGGCUAACUACGUGCCAGCAGCCGCGGUAAUACGUAGGGGGCGAGCGUUACCCGGAAUCACUGGGCGUAAAGGGAGCGUAGGUGGCCUAACAUGUCAACUGUGAAAACCCGGAGCUCAACUCCGGACUUGCAGUUGAAACUGGUAGGCUUGAGGACGGUAGAGGAAGACGGAACUGCCAGUGUAGGGGUAAAAUCCUUAGAUAUUGGCAGGAACGCCGGUGACGAAGGUGGUUUUCUGGGCCGGUUCUGACACUGAUGCUCGAAAGCCAGGGGAGCGAACGGGAUUAGAUACCCCGGUAGUCCUGGCCCUAAACGAUGUUCACUAGGUGUGGGGAGCGGAAAGCUCUCCGUGCUAAAGCUAACGCGAUAAGUGAACCGCCUGGGGAGUACGCCCGCAAGGGUGAAACUCAAAGGAAUUGACGGGGACCCGCACAAGCGGUGGAGCGUGUGGUUUAAUUCGAUGCUAAGCGAAGGACCUUACCAAGGUUUGACAUGCUAAUGGUAGUGAAUUGAAAGAGGAACGACCACACUAUGUGUGGAGUUAGCACAGGUGGUGCACGGCCGUCGUCAGCUCGUGUCGUGAGGUGUUGGGUUAAGUCCCGCAACGAGCGCAACCCCUGCUCUUAGUUACCAGCGGUAAGGCCGGGUACUCUAAGAGGACCGCCGCCGACGAGGCGGAGGAAGGGGGGGAUGAAGUCAGGUAUCGUGCCCCUUAUAUCUUGGGCGACACACGCGCUACAAUGGGUUGGACAGAAGGGACCAAGACAGCGAUGUGGAGGAAAUCCUCAAACCAACCCCCAGUUCAGAUUGCAGGCUGAAACCCGCCUGCAUGAAGCCGGAAUCGCUAGUAAUCGCAGAUCAGCCAAGCUGCGGUGAAUACGUUCCCGGGUCUUGUACACACCGCCCGUCAAGCCACCCGAGUUGGUAACACCUGAAGAUGAGUAUCCUAACCGAAAGGAGGGAGCUUGUUUAGGGUGGGAUUGGCAAGGGGGGCU